GCUAGCCUCACUACUACCAGUAGGCCUCAAGGGGUCCGUUGCCAUGGCAACUGGCACCUAGGCAACAAGAUGAUGCAGGAUGGAGAAGGAAGGGGGUCUCCAUUGUGCCUAUUUGUCAUGCUGGAAUGUGUGGGAAGUCCAGCCUGAUGAAGUGUGGACAGGUUUUUUUGAAGCAGCCAACAUCCAGCACCGCCGGGGAUAUGACUCUUCUGACAUCAGAACAACAACCACAACCAAAAAAAGCCAUUCUGUGCUACUUCAAGGGACAAGCCGGACAUGAGCCAACACUAUGAUGCAGCAACUCAAAAAGUCAAUGCGAUUCUAGGCUGUAGAAGGAGCCUAAGACAAUAUAAAAGAAGUCCUUGGAUUUGGAGAGCUUGAUGGUGGCCCCGGUUUCCUUCUGCAGUUGGACGAUGGUUUGGCCGCCUUUGCCGAUGAUGGAUCCGGCCGCAUAGCUGGGGAUCAGGACCUUCAGGAAGUAUUCGCCGUCCUCUGGAAAAGAAAGGGACAAAAAAGAUAUCUCAUCAUCCGAAUCCUUGGCCAAAUGAAAGCCAUGGAUCACUCCCACACAGCCCUCCCAGGUUCUGCUGCAUGGAGCUGGAAGGCGGAAACAGCUCCCAGAGGCACCGCAUCAUAAAAGAGAAUGUGAUGGCUUCUGCAAAAUGCAACCCGAAUCUUGGCACAGCAACGGAUGCAGGAAGAUGCUACUGGGAUCCAGCAAAGGUAGCUUUUCCCUCCAUCGUGGUAAAUGAUAACACACUUUCUUCUUCUUCUUCUUCUUUGCAGACAUUAAUAAAAAUCAGGCCACACAGCUCCUCAAUACACCCAA